GACGUACGCUGGCGGCGUGCUUAACACAUGCAAGUCGAACGGUAAGGCCCCUUCGGGGGUACACGAGUGGCGAACGGGUGAGUAACACGUGGGUGACGUGCCCUGUACUUCGGGAUAAGCCUGGGAAACUGGGUCUAAUACCGGAUAUGACCUUCCCCUGCAUGGGGGUUGGUGGAAAGCUUUUGCGGUACAGGAUGGGCCCGCGGCCUAUCAGCUUGUUGGUGGGGUAAUGGCCUACCAAGGCGACGACGGGUAGCCGGCCUGAGAGGGCGACCGGCCACACUGGGACUGAGACACGGCCCAGGCUCCUACGGGAGGCAGCAGUGGGGAAUAUUGCACAAUGGGCGAAAGCCUGAUGCAGCGACGCCGCGUGAGGGAUGACGGCCUUCGGGUUGUAAACCUCUUUCAGUAGGGACGAAGCGCAAGUGACGGUACCUACAGAAGAAGCACCGGCCAACUACGUGCCAGCAGCCGCGGUAAUACGUAGGGUGCGAGCGUUGUCCGGAUUUACUGGGCGUAAAGAGCUCGUAGGCGGUUUGUCACGUCGUCUGUGAAAACCCGAGGCUUAACCUCGGGCCUGCAGGCGAUACGGGCAGACUUGAGUACUGUAGGGGAGACUGGAAUUCCUGGUGUAGCGGUGGAAUGCGCAGAUAUCAGGAGGAACACCGGUGGCGAAGGCGGGUCUCUGGGCAGUAACUGACGCUGAGGAGCGAAAGCGUGGGUAGCGAACAGGAUUAGAUACCCUGGUAGUCCACGCCGUAAACGGUGGGUACUAGGUGUGGGUUUCCUUCCACGGGAUCCGUGCCGUAGCUAACGCAUUAAGUACCCCGCCUGGGGAGUACGGCCGCAAGGCUAAAACUCAAAGGAAUUGACGGGGGCCCGCACAAGCGGCGGAGCAUGUGGAUUAAUUCGAUGCAACGCGAAGAACCUUACCUGGGUUUGACAUAUAGAGGAUCGCCGGAGAGAUUCGGUUUGCCUUGUGCCUUCUGUACAGGUGGUGCAUGGCUGUCGUCAGCUCGCGUCGUGAGAUGUUGGGUUAAGUCCCGCAACGAGCGCAACCCCUGUCUCAUGUUGCCAGCACGUAAUGGUGGGGACUCGUGAGAGACUGCCGGGGUCAACUCGGAGGAAGGUGGGGAUGACGUCAAGUCAUCAUGCCCCUUAUGUCCAGGGCUUCACACAUGCUACAAUGGCGCGUACAGAGGGCUGCGAUACCGCGAGGUGGAGCGAAUCCCUUAAAGCGCGUCUCAGUUCGGAUUGGGGUCUGCAACUCGACCCCAUGAAGUCGGAGUCGCUAGUAAUCGCAGAUCAGCAACGCUGCGGUGAAUACGUUCCCGGGCCU
rnacentral:rRNA from 1 species